rnacentral:rRNA from 1 species
AACGAACGCUGGCGGCAUGCCUAACACAUGCAAGUCGAACGAGCCCUUCGGGGUUAGUGGCGCACGGGUGCGUAACGCGUGGGAAUCUGCCCUUGGGUUCGGAAUAACAGUGAGAAAUUACUGCUAAUACCGGAUGAUGUCUUCGGACCAAAGAUUUAUCGCCCAAGGAUGAGCCCGCGUAGGAUUAGCUAGUUGGUGGGGUAAUGGCCUACCAAGGCGACGAUCCUUAGCUGGUCUGAGAGGAUGAUCAGCCACACUGGGACUGAGACACGGCCCAGACUCCUACGGGAGGCAGCAGUGGGGAAUAUUGGACAAUGGGCGAAAGCCUGAUCCAGCAAUGCCGCGUGAGUGAUGAAGGCCUUAGGGUUGUAAAGCUCUUUUACCCGGGAUGAUAAUGACAGUACCGGGAGAAUAAGCGCCGGCUAACUCCGUG